UACGUAGGGGGCAAACGUUGUUCGGAAUCACUGGGCAUAAAGAGCGCGUAGGCGGUCCCGUAAGUCAAGUGUGAAAGACCUCAGCCCAACUGAGGAACUGCACUUGAUACUGCUGGGCUCGAGUGCAGGAGGGGAGAGCGGAAUUCCUGGUGGAGCGGUGAAAUGCGUAGAUAUCAGGAGGAACGCCAGCGGCGAAAGCGGCUCUCUGGUCUGCAACUGACGCUGAGGCGCGAAAGCUAGGGGAGCAAACGGG
rnacentral:rRNA from 1 species